rnacentral:rRNA from 1 species
UACGUAGGGGGCAAGCGUUGUCCGGAAUCAUUGGGCGUAAAGCGAGCGUAGGCGGCCCGAUAAGUCUGCUGUAAAAGUCCACGGCUCAACCGUUGAAAGCCGGUGGAUACUGUCGGGCUAGAGUUCGGAAGAGGCAAGUGGAAUUCCUGGUGUAGCGGUGGAAUGCGCAGAUAUCAGGAGGAACACCUAUAGCGAAGGCAGCUUGCUGGGAAGAUACUGACGCUAAGGCUCGAAAGCGUGGGGAGCGAACAGG